UUUCGCAAUGCCCGAAAGGGUGACGAAGCGACGCCGCGUGUGGGAAGAAGGCCUUCGGGUUGUAAACCACUGUCGGGAGUUAGGAAAUGCAGGUGCGUUAAUAGCGCACUUGCUUGACUAAGGCUCCAGAGGAAGCCACGGCUAACUCUGUGCCAGCAGCCGCGGUAAUACAGAGGCGGCAAGCGUUGUUCGGAAUUAUUGGGCGUAAAGAGCACGUAGGCGGCCUUGCAAGUCAGUUGCGAAAGCCUUCCGCUUAACGGAAGAACGGCAUCUGAUACUACAGGGCUUGAGUACGGGAGGGGAGAGUGGAACUUCUGGUGGAGCGGUGAAAUGCGUAGAUAUCAGAAGGAACGCCGGCGGCGAAAGCGACUCUCUGGUCCGAAACUGACGCUGAGUGUGCGAAAGCUAGGGGAGCAAACGGGAUUAGAUACCCCGGUAGUCCUAGCCGUAAACGAUGGGCACUAAGUAGAGGGGUUUU
rnacentral:rRNA from 1 species